rnacentral:misc_RNA from 1 species
UGUGAAUGGGAGUUCGGGAUG